rnacentral:rRNA from 1 species
AACGAACUCUGGCGGCGUGGAUAAGACAUGCAAGUCGAACGAGAGAAUUGCUAGCUUGCUAAUAAUUCUCUAGUGGCGCACGGGUGAGUAACACGUGAGUAACCUGCCCCCGAGAGCGGGAUAGCCCUGGGAAACUGGGAUUAAUACCGCAUAGUAUCGAAAGAUUAAAGCAGCAAUGCGCUUGGGGAUGGGCUCGCGGCCUAUUAGUUAGUUGGUGAGGUAACGGCUCACCAAGGCGAUGACGGGUAGCCGGUCUGAGAGGAUGUCCGGCCACACUGGAACUGAGACACGGUCCAGACACCUACGGGUGGCAGCAGUCGAGAAUCAUUCACAAUGGGGGAAACCCUGAUGGUGCGACGCCGCGUGGGGGAAUGAAGGUCUUCGGAUUGUAAACCCCUGUCAUGUGGGAGCAAAUUAAAAAGAUAGUACCACAAGAGGAAGAGACGGCUAACUCUGUGCCAGCAGCCGCGGUAAUACAGAGGUCUCAAGCGUUGUUCGGAAUCACUGGGCGUAAAGCGUGCGUAGGCUG